UGUGCUGCUUCCGGGGAGACUUGUUAUUGGCAAGCAUGUGGGCCAGACCGCAGAACUCCCUGGCACAGAGGUGGAGGGGAAGGGAUAGCGUGAAAAAAGGAGAGCAUGGAGGCACAGAUUUUGGUUCCCCUCUGGAAGUUGGAAGGGGAGAGAAACUAUGACUUGGCCUUCAGGUUAGGAGUGAGAGCUGAAAAUGAGAAAAGUGGAGUAGUAAUGGUUUGGCAAAGAAAUUAGAGCUGGGUGAAGAAGGCACCUGGGUCUGAGGGUUGGGAGGAGGAUCCCGCUGUCUGAAAGAAAAGGAAAGCUUAAUGAGGGCACUCCAAGUAAGUGAGAAGCUGUGUGGAGAGCUGGAGUACCUAGGACUGGCUGGGUAAAGGAGUCUCAGACUUCUUGAGCCAUAAAGAAAGGGUUGGGACAUGGUGGGAAAGCAGGCACAGGCAGAAUUUUCAUCUGCGGUGGAGCAAAGAGAGAAGUCCAAGGAGUGGAGAACAGAUUGAGAGGGACUGGCUUCAGGUGGAGUAAGUAAGAGAACUGUAAGUCUCUUGGACCUUGCAUUGGACCAUAUUUAUUUUCUUAGGUUAGCCUGCAGAAGACAAGAUCAUAGUGAUUUUUGAUUUUAAUGUAAUUUGCUAUUAUGUUCCUAAACAAAAAAGGCACUUGCUACAUAUAUAAAAAUAUACAUAUAUACAUUUAUUUAUUCAGAGGCAUACAAAGAUGGUAUCUGCAUGCUAGAUGUUAGAUGUGAUGUGGUAAAAAUGAUAAUUAAAUUGCUUAGGAUAACCAUAAGCCCCCUUCCCUCCCAUGUGUUUGCUGAGGGUACAGAAAAGACACCAGAACAACACUUUAGGUGAGACACCUAGAAGGAGGCUGAAGCUCAGGGUUACAAUGCCUAAUUUUGAGAUACCUGCAUUUCCAAGGGAAUCCUCAGUCUGUAACAGCACUCCAAGUUAUCGUAAUUACAAUUGUGGUAAGUGGGCACCUCUGGAGGGGCAUGCUGGCUGGCCUCAGCCUGCUAAUAAAAAAUGGUGAGCAAUGGCAGUUUCUCUUCUCUUAUCAAGAAUUGUUCUCUUCUCUUCUCUUUCCCGGGUGAUUUUGGAGAGCAGGAUGCAGGCAGCGAGGGUGAGGAUCGUGUCACCUAACUUGAGAUGUCUGCAAUGCAGGGACCAUUUUCAGUCAUCAGGAGACACAGCUCAUCUGCUGUGUCUGCUCUGGGAUGGAACGCAGUGCCUAGGAAUUUGCAUCCUGGGAGUGAUUGAUACUCUAAGUGUGAUGAAGCUGACUGCCAUCCCCUACCACACAGUGGACACAACAUAGGAUGGCCCUGCCUGCUUCUUGCUGGAGUCAGCACCCCUCUCUAACUCUCACCUUGCUUCAGCUAUGUGUGAAAAAAUAUUCACUCCAAUGGCCUCAAGAUCAUCAGAGAAACAGCAUCAUUUAAAGAGGGCAUGUGAAUACUUAGAUAGAGCUUUAUUGCAUUUUAAUUGCUAUUCCCUUAAACCUAUAAAUAUACCCUAAUGCUAAAAUCAGUUUUGAACUUUUAAACUUGAUUUUAAGGCCGUCUUUUUUUUCCCCUUUCCUUAACUGAAAUGGGAAAAAAAUACCUAAACAAAAAUCUGCAUAAUGAUUGUGCACUGUAAGUUGCUGUGCUCUUUUGCAUAAAAGAUUUUCCAUAUUACAGCAGGGGGCUUUCUCCUGCUAUGUCAGUAAGAAGAAGAAAAUUCAUUUCUUACACCCGCCUGUCAUUUGCCCUUUUAUGAUCGAACCGUAUACCAUCAGGCAACCACAAAAAUGACAAAAGCUUUUGCAACUGAAUACAUCUGAUAAUUGCGGUGUUUGGCUAAAUUUAGGACUACAGUGGCUGAUACUGCAGUGUUUGGUAGAGGAAAAAAAUGAAGAUACGUUGUGUUAUCCUAUUUUACAGUCUGCGAGACUUCAGUAAUCACCUUACAUGAUCCAUCACCUGAAACAGUGUUUCUAUUCUGUUAAACUUCUAGAUUUUAAGGAUUUUUUU